AUUGAACGCUGGCGGUAUGCUUAACACAUGCAAGUCGAACGGUAACAGGCCUUCGGGCGCUGACGAGUGGCGGACGGGUGAGUAACGCGUAGGAAUCUGGCUAUUAGUGGGGGACAACGUGUGGAAACGCACGCUAAUACCGCAUACGCCCUGAGGGGGAAAGGAGGGGACUCUUCGGAGCCUUUUGCUAAUAGAUGAGCCUGCGUUGGAUUAGCUAGAUGGUGGGGUAAGGGCUCACCAUGGCGACGAUCCAUAGCUGUUCUGAGAGGAAGAUCAGCCACACUGGGACUGAGACACGGCCCAGACUCCUACGGGAGGCAG
rnacentral:rRNA from 1 species